rnacentral:rRNA from 1 species
AUUGAACGCUGGCGGCAUGCCCUUACACAUGCAAGUCGAACGGCAGCACGGGUGCUUGCACCUGGUGGCGAGUGGCGAACGGGUGAGUAAUAUAUCGGAACGUACCUUAUUGUGGGGGAUAACGCAGCGAAAGCUGUGCUAAUCCCGCAUAAUCCCUAAGGGGGAAAGCGGGGGACCGUAAGGCCUCGCGCAAUUAGAGCGGCCGAUACCUGAUUAGCUAGUUGGUGAGGUAAAGGCUCACCAAGGCAACGAUCAGUAGCUGGUCUGAGAGGACGAUCAGCCACACUGGGACUGAGACACGGCCCAGACUCCUACGGGAGGCAGCAGUGGGGAAUUUUGGACAAUGGGGGCAACCCUGAUCCAGCAAUGCCGCGUGAGUGAAGAAGGCCUUCGGGUUGUAAAGCUCUUUUGUCAGGGAAGAAACAGCAGCUCUAACACAGUUUGCGAAUGACGGUACCUGAAGAA